rnacentral:rRNA from 1 species
GAUGAACGCUGGCGGCGUGCCUAAUACAUGCAAGUCGAGCGAACAGACGAGGAGCUUGCUCCUUUGACGUUAGCGGCGGACGGGUGAGUAACACGUAGGUAACCUACCUAUAAGACUGGGAUAAUUUCGGGAAACCGGAGCUAAUACCGGAUAAUAUUUCGAACCGCAUGGUUCGAUAGUGAAAGAUGGCUUUGCUAUCACUAAUAGAUGGACCUGCGCCGUAUUAGCUAGUUGGUAAGGUAACGGCUUACCAAGGCAACGAUACGUAGCCGACCUGAGAGGGUGAUCGGCCACACUGGAACUGAGACACGGUCCAGACUCCUACGGGAGGCAGCAGUAGGGAAUCUUCCGCAAUGGGCGAAAGCCUGACGGAGCAACGCCGCGUGAGUGAUGAAGGUCUUCGGAUCGUAAAACUCUGUUAUUAGGGAAGAACAAACGUGUAAGUAACUGUGCACGUCUUGACGGUACCUAAUCAGAAAGCCACGGCUAACUACGUG